UCUUUCUUUCUUCUCUUCACAUCCAACUUAGCCUCCCUGUAUGUCUUGCUCCUUUUGUCAAAUGAAAGGAACAUCAAGUGGCCCAUGGACCAGUGUGACUUUGUGUCUGUCACAGGUUGGACUCUGUGGCUACAUUAGGCUGAAGUUGGCUGAGCACAGGAAGAAAGAACUUCCUUUGCAGGCAAUAGCAGAGGACAAUAGAGUUUGAGCUUUGAACAAGUUUCUCAGAAAACUGGGCUCUGUCUGGAAUGUUAACUGGACAGAUGUGAUCCUGUUUGGAGUAGGCGACUACGGCAUUCCUUCUGUCACAUCUAGAAAAUGAUGAGGAAAGGGGAUUCAGCAGACAAAGGAAAAAUGGGUUCUGGAUCACUGGGUCUGAGACCUGAACACCCUUUGAAAUCAACCAAUCAUGGCUUGGGUUCCAAGGAAGAGUCUGAAUGUCGGCAAGCAGCAGUUGCUUCUGCCUGCCUCAGGUUCUCACUGAGACUUUGUCAGCGAAGUAACAGCAUGGGGUCUGGGACAGCAGAGGCUGCCAGGAGUGAAGAACAUCUCUAACCAUUAUUCUGAUGAAUUAUAUCACAGACAGAUCCAAUCCAAUUGAGGAAACUCUUAGGCAGCUCCAGCCUCACAGGAGGAACUCUGAAAUCACCUUCCUUGCCAGGCUAGAAUGGAGUAGGGCACUUCAAGCUGUGGUGAUACUGGGAAAACAUGAGGUAACAUGGGUCAGACUCCCGAAGGCAUACAGACUGGCCUGGCCAUUGUGACUCUCACUCUUGGGUUCUCAGCAGUGGUGAGACAACCAGAUAACUACUUUGAACUUCACAUUUUUCAUGUUUAAAAAAUGACCCACAUAAUAUGUACCUAAUGUGGAGUUUUAAUCCAUACUUAAUUAGAUUAUGCAGGUAAAUAAUGGAAAUUCAUGGGUUUCCUUCUCUCCAGUUCACCUACAAGUAUUCUUUUAUUCCCAAACCUCUGUUCAGGAGAGUUCAUCAAAACUCUUUUAUCCUGUCCUGUUUCCUUCACUUCCUUGAGAAGAUAGUUGAAUAAAUUAAUUUGUAAGAUGAUAGACCUUAGGCUGUAAGUUACAUUUUAAUGAAGAGUUUAGGAGACACAAACUAGACUCAGCCUUGGACCUUUCCCUCCUGGGUAGCCUCUAAGGAAACACUUAGGGGUGAAGGGCCAAGCUAGGUGCCUGCAGUAUGGGUGUCUGAUUGACAGCCAAUGAGCAAGGGAACGGGCCAGCAUUUUGACUAGCCAUGUGCUCUAUGCCCCUCUGUGCCUGGCACUAAACUGGGAGCUUUGGGCUGGAGCCGAGCUAUAUCCAUCUUUGUAACAUCUUGAGAGGCCAGGUAUCCUCAGCAGAGGGACUCACACCGAUGGACUUCAAAAUAGUUUCUCAUCCCAAACACACCCCCAUGGAAUAAGGUGUUGAAGGCAUUCAAAAUGUGGAUAAAAAGUAAAGGAUUUGUUUAAAAAAAAAAAAGGAUGAGAAAGUAAAAGACGAACAUGUGGGAAAGAAGCUCUGGGGAGUAAAAGAUGAAACAAGUUACAAAAUAAACGGCUGAGCUUGUCCUUGACCGCUUCAUCGUCCCUGCCUGCUCCUUAAGGCCUGUUUCUAUUCUAUCAGCACCAGCUGCGGUCCACAAAUCUGCCAGGUGCUAAGACGGGUGAAAGGGGGUCAGACAGGAAUGAGCAUUCAGGUCCCUUAAUUUGGAACUGGCAUUGGCAUUUGGACGUGUUUGUGAGGACUUAACUUUAAUUAAUUGACUCCUUAGGAAUAAAGUCAGCAGGUUCUCUUCCAUGGAUUUUAGAAAGGAGAUUUUUUUUUUUUUUACUCCUUUAGAACCUCACAGUUCCCUAAAUCCCUGGCCUGUGGAGAAGGCUAUCAUUAAAUAGAUGGCUUAUUUCCUAGGCUAGUCUCUACUCACAGGCUCCAUGUUGUUUAACCCAUUUACCUUAAAGGAGGAUGUGCCUAAUUCUCUGCGAAGGACUAUUUUGAGGUGAAAUGAGACAGAACAAGAAAUUUUCUAACUGAGCUAUGGCUUCAACCUUUCUCCUUUUUCUUAGGGAAGAUUCUGCUGGCUUCCCAUCUCAUCAUCUCAUCACGUUGAACCCCGGGGAAUGAUUUUAGUUUUGGUCAAUAAGCCUCAGCCCUCACUUGCUCUCAACCUCUCUUCCAGAAUCUCCCUCCCCCCCCCCCCCGCCACCCCUCAAGCUCAGAGUCCUUAAGUCACAUGCUAGUUACAGAGGUUGGCAGUAGGAGGCCAAGUGGCCAUGGUCCCCAGGCAAGCACUUGCAGGUCUAGAGGAUAAUACAAGUCUGCCAAGUUCAGUUUCCAUGGCUGACUAGGAUGCCUGCUGCUAGGCAAGCAGAUGUCCUAAAGUCAGAGUGAAUCACAGUGUAUAAAUGUUACAAAGUGAAAUCUGGGAAAGUGGUAUGCCUUGUGUAAUUUGUCCCCUGCUGUGUCGACCUGCUUCCAAGAGGAGAGGACUGAAGAGAGAUGGCAUAAAGCUUACAGGUUCCUGGAGAUGAUGCACCACCCAUCAAUUCAGGCUUCUGGAUAUGAUACUGAUGGUAAACUGCCCCCUUGGUGUGGCAACACUUGAAGUGCCAUCUCUGGGACCCUCUAGUAACUUGUCAAAGGUAAGGUCCUGGCCAGGUAAGAGCUCACAAUAUCAUGUUCGUAGUGGCCGUCAUCUAUGGUGGCCAACAUUACGCUAUAGUUGGAAGCUUUGGAGGGGUCACGAGAAGAGAAAGCUCUACCCCUGAAUACCUAUAAUAGCUGUGACCACUGUGACUACUGAGGGCAUGUGACGAUCUUCUUUCGAGAACUUCCAGAUUCAUCAAGCUAUAGUACCAUGGCAGAGGAGCAAGUGUCCCUCUAUAGCUAGUGAGACUGAAUCAGACAAAUUCUGUUUAUUGACUUUAAGACUUGAGCUACAGCUAGGUGAUGUGUGGUGGGAAAUAAAGCCCAUGUGUGUUGGAAUAGUAGAAUUAUAUUUGAUUAUUGAGGAAGAAUAAGUUUGAGCAUGUUGGAUUACCAGAAGUCAUGUGACAAGGACCCUGGGGCUAAGUAAUAGAUGAUUUAGUGCAGCCCCAGGCCCUUCCCUUGGUAUGAGGAACCUGAACUGUCAGCCCCAAGGCUCAUUUGCUGGAUCCUGUUUCUCCCCCAUGACACUGGAGUACUGUGUUGUACAUUCAGUUUUCUGAGAGAGUAAACUGAUUUGAAUUCAGGAAGAAGUUGAGUGUGGGAGGGGUGUGGUGGUGGUGGUGGUGGUAGUGGUGGUGGUGGUGGUGGUGAUGGUGGUAGUGGCACAAUUCUGAGCAGGACAUGUAUUGACCAAUUAGCAUCAACAGGGAUGAUCACUGAGUUUAUGUGUGUAGCUAUGACUUUGUGUCUCAAGAGAAUUGUGGGACUGAGAACAAUCUUUUUAAAAAUGUAAGUGUAUGUAUGCAUUUUAAAAAUCAAUCAUCUUAGUUGUACAGGUCAUAUGGUACAGUGUGGUAAUUUGCCACAGGUGUGCAAUAUAUGUUAAUCAAAUUGGGGUAGUUACCACUUCCAUCUCAACUUUUCUUCAUUAAUAUAUGGCACAUGUGCCUUUGUGGCAAAACCAAAUUUAACUGAAAAAGCCAAUGAUUGGCAAGCCUGUUGUGGCCACGGAAGUAUGGCUUUAUGGCUAUACUGAUCAGGAACGCUGGUCAAGAAGGAUGCACCAUUCACUCUAAUGGGAGAUAUGGCCAUCAAAUCAAAGAUAUGGCCCUUCAACUCAGUACACACCUCUGAGUUUGGAAAUUUCUUUUAGGAUGGAAGAUUUCCCAAGAAGGGAAAACAUUUUUUCCUUCCACAGAUGGACUGAUGGCUUGAAGAAACUUCACCUUAGAAAGGAUGGUGCUUCACUACGUUUUCCAGGAUGGUGAAGCAGGACAAGGUGGUUCCUCGUUUCGUUGUGCAGCUAACAAGUGUGCGCUCUCAUUUGCUUCUGAUUUUCUGCAGUGCUAGAGCAAUGGGCUCAAGUCACCAUUGAACACAUGCAGAAAUCAGUGGAUCCUGCAGUGGCUUCAAAGGAUAUGAUGGUGGAGGAAGACUGACCAAAGACAGGAAGGGACCAGGCUUCCCUGUUGCCAAUGACAUGGCUUCCUUCCAAAAUGCUCUACCUUUUAAAGAUACUGUUACCUCCCAGUAGCAUCAUGGGCUGAGGACAAAGCCUUCAACACAUGGACCUUUGGUGGAAAUUUGAGAUCUAAAUGGAUUUCAGACACUGGAUAUAUAAGUUCAUUGCAGAAUAUUCCAUCAGAGGACAUAUAAAAUCAAUAGUCAAUCCUCUUUUACUUAAAGAAGAAUUGGGGCAUGAUGAAAAGAAUAUGGAAGUCUUCCAAUAGCUGGGCCCUCAGCUGUGGACCACAGAGAGAGAUGCUUUUCAGCUUACCAUCUUAUUGAAGUUAGAGGAAGAUAUGCUGUGAAGAUAUGCUUGAAUAUUUAUUUGAACAGCCUCAGACUAUUCUCAGCUCUCCAUCCACAUGCCUCAAAAAAUUUCUAUACAAACCAAGGAAAGAAAUUAAAAAAAAAAAAAAAAAGAGGAAUCCUGGAAAUAGCAUCCAGAAGGUGCUGGAGAGAUGGCUCAGUAGUUAAGAGCAAUUACCGCUCUUGCAGAAGACAAGGGUUUGGUUGCCAAAACCCACAUCAAGCUGGUCACAACCACCUAUCACUCCAGGUGCACCCAUGAAAUGCACAUAAAUCCACACUGUCACACACACACACACACACACACAGACAUGGAAAUAAAUAAAACCCCCAAAUAAAUAAAGGUAGAACAUUUUGAGAAGCCUAGUGGUUUAUAAACUGGUAGCUCGCGUGGACCCCAGAGGCUGGGCUGCUUUACAUUUAAACCGCAGGUUGAGAGUCGGCUUCAUUCUUUAACUGCAUUUUUUUUUCUGAAAUAUUAUGUCAACAUUGCCCUCACGUUCAUUUUCAGAGAACUCGAGAAAGUCAGGCACUCUGUCAACAUCAAUUUGGUUUUAUUAUAAAAUGACUAUACCUUGAUAAAUAUGAUGAAGGACUCAAGCUAAGAU